UCAGGAUGAACGCUAGCUACAGGCUUAACACAUGCAAGUCGAGGGGCAGCAUGGUCUUAGCUUGCUAAGGCCGAUGGCGACCGGCGCACGGGUGAGUAACACGUAUCCAACCUGCCGUCUACUCUUGGACAGCCUUCUGAAAGGAAGAUUAAUACAAGAUGGCAUCAUGAGUCCGCAUGUUCACAUGAUUAAAGGUAUUCCGGUAGACGAUGGGGAUGCGUUCCAUUAGAUAGUAGGCGGGGUAACGGCCCACCUAGUCUUCGAUGGAUAGGGGUUCUGAGAGGAAGGUCCCCCACAUUGGAACUGAGACACGGUCCAAACUCCUACGGGAGGCAGCAGUGAGGAAUAUUGGUCAAUGGGCGCAGGCCUGAACCAGCCAAGUAGCGUGAAGGAUGACUGCCCUAUGGGUUGUAAACUUCUUUUAUAAAGGAAUAAAGUCGGGUAUGGAUACCCGUUUGCAUGUACUUUAUGAAUAAGGAUCGGCUAACUCCGUGCCAGCAGCCGCGGUAAUACGGAGGAUCCGAGCGUUAUCCGGAUUUAUUGGGUUUAAAGGGAGCGUAGAUGGAUGUUUAAGUCAGUUGUGAAAGUUUGCAGCUCAACCGUAAAAUUGCAGUUGAUACUGGAUAUCUUGAGUGCAGUUGAGGCAGGCGGAAUUCGUGGUGUAGCGGUGAAAUGCUUAGAUAUCACGAAGAACUCCGAUUGCGAAGGCAGCCUGCUAAGCUGCAACUGACAUUGAGGCUCGAAAGUGUGGGUAUCAAACAGGAUUAGAUACCCUGGUAGUCCACACGGUAAACGAUGAAUACUCGCUGUUUGCGAUAUACAGCAAGCGGCCAAGCGAAAGCGUUAAGUAUUCCACCUGGGGAGUACGCCGGCAACGGUGAAACUCAAAGGAAUUGACGGGGGCCCGCACAAGCGGAGGAACAUGUGGUUUAAUUCGAUGAUACGCGAGGAACCUUACCCGGGCUUAAAUUGCAGAUGAAUUACGGUGAAAGCCGUAAGCCGCAAGGCAUCUGUGAAGGUGCUGCAUGGUUGUCGUCAGCUCGUGCCGUGAGGUGUCGGCUUAAGUGCCAUAACGAGCGCAACCCUUGUUGUCAGUUACUAACAGGUUCCGCUGAGGACUCUGACAAGACUGCCAUCGUAAGAUGUGAGGGAGGUGGGGAUGACGUCAAAUCAGCACGGCCCUUACGUCCGGGGCUACACACGUGUUACAAUGGGGGGUACAGAGGGCCGCUACCACGCGAGUGGAUGCCAAUCCCCAAAACCUCUCUCAGUUCGGACUGGAGUCUGCAACCCGACUCCACGAAGCUGGAUUCGCUAGUAAUCGCGCAUCAGCCACGGCGCGGUGAAUACGUUCCCGGGCCUUGUACACACCGCCCGUCAAGCCAUGGGAGCCGGGGGUACCUGAAGUGCGUAACCGCGAGGAGCGCCCUAGGGUAAAACUGG
rnacentral:rRNA from 1 species